rnacentral:rRNA from 1 species
UACGUAGGGUGCAAGCGUUGUCCGGAAUUAUUGGGCGUAAAGAGCUCGUAGGCGGUCUGUCACGUCGGGCGUGAAAAUCCAGGGCUUAACCCUGGACCUGCGUUCGAUACGGGCAGACUAGAGUUCGGCAGAGGGAAGCGGAAUUUCGGGUGUAGCGGUGAAAUGCGUAGAUAUCCGAAGGAACAUCAGUGGCGAAAGCGGCUUCCUGGACCAGAACUGACGAUCAGGCACGAAAGCGUGGGGAGCAAACAGG